rnacentral:ncRNA from 1 species
UUGGUUUUUGCGGCUGUCUGACCAGGCAGUGCCGCGACGCUACCAUCUGCCGGAUAAUGGCUGAACGCCUCUAAGUCAGAAUCCGUGCCGGAACGCGGCGAUGUAGCCCCGCACGUCGUAGUUGGAUACGAAUAGGCCUCCGGGCCAUGCACCUCAGCAGGCUGGCGACGGCUCCCGGGGAGAAACCCCCGGGGGCUGGCUGGCGGAUUGCAAUGUCACCUCGCGCGGGGAUGAAUCCUCUGCAGACGACUGAAGUGACCAAGCGGGUCGUGUAAGCGGUCAAGUAGCCUUGUUGCUACGAGUCGCUGAGCGUCAGCCCGAUCCUUGGCUAGAUUUGU